rnacentral:misc_RNA from 1 species
AAUUCUCAAACCUUCUUGGUUUCUUGACCAAGUCGGCUUUGGACUUUGGAGGUUGCUGGCUUUGCAAAAAGCCAGCUCCUCUUAAAUACAUUAGUAGGGUCUCCUUUGCCGAUCCCCAGGCGUGAUAAGUCGCUUCUACGUCUUGGGAUUUGCUCUGUUCCUUGAGAACCUGCUUCCAAUCGUCUCAUCGAAGACAUCGUUCGAGCUUGCUCGACCCACGAA